rnacentral:sRNA from 1 species
GACCACCUCCGGUGAGGUCAAGGCCAUACGGACAGCCGGGUCCACUGCCGA